AUGCACUUCAUCGGAAUUCUACAGUCCGACAAUGGUGCAAGCGGCUCGGUUUAGACCAACAUGGAAGCCAGACCUCACCGGACUACGUAACAGCCACGUAUCAGAACAGGCACAGUGACAAAAUUUGCCUAAAGCGAAUUUCUGCUAAUCACAUACGAUGGGACAAUGCAACUGCAACGUAUGUAUUCCGGAACACCCAAUGAUGGAAGCUCACAUGGUAAACGUAGAAUGACCGUCUGUUCAGUUCGUCUGGAUGUUCCCGUUGGACUGGUAGGAUGCCGCACAGCAGCCAUUCAUUGGCACUGAUUGUUUUCACAGUAAACCGAUAUUCCCUUUGGAAUUUUCGAAACUAAAGCAGCUUGCAUUGACGUUGGAGCUGGCGAUGCAAUGGGAUUUGGAUUUGAGAACAGCCCAGAGUUGCAUAUGGCUUUACGCAACCAUUGCGGGAAUUCGCAUUUAUAUACGUGAAAUAUGUGUGAAUAACAGAAGAUGGAAGUACAUGCUGAGAUACUAAUUUGUUACAUGAUGGGCCACAAUUCGCUACGAUUAAACUACACCGAAUAGAUUAUUCUUCUUCACUGGACUCGUUGCUAAGUUGCUGUUUCCGUUGUUAUGUAAAUACUCCCAAGUCCCUCUCAACUUCAAGAAGUCUAUCAUAAAGAUUUUCGCUCUGCAAUGGAUGCUGUUCGGGUCUUUAGUAUAGUUUUAUUUUUUUUAAACGUCACAAAAGUUCCAAAAUGCACAAAUUCUUCAACCACUUCUCAUCAGUGUGUAUGUAAAAUAUUUAGAACAAUAGACAAAUAGACAAAAUGAAUGAAUGUUAAGGUUUGGCUGA